rnacentral:rRNA from 1 species
CGCGUAGGCGGCUCGCUAAGCGUGCGGUGAAAGCCCGGGGCUCAACCCCGGGUCGGCCGUGCGAACUGGCGAGCUGGAGCACUGUAGAGGCGGGUGGAAUUCCGGGUGUAGCGGUGGAAUGCGUAGAGAUCCGGAAGAACACCGGUGGCGAAGGCGGCCCGCUGGGCAGUGGCUGACGCUGAGGCGCGACAGCGUGGGGAGCAAACA